CCUUAGAUAUUAGUUUUACCCAGGAUUUUUGAAAUUUGCAUGCAGAUUUCAAAAUGGAUGGAUAAAUGAAAGAAUAAAUGAAACUUGCCAUCUUAAUUACGGUUUCCCUAAAUUACCUCCUUUCCUACUUCCACUACAGUGGUUCAGGCCUUUACCAUCACUUGGCUGGUUGACUGCUGCUGCAUCGAAUGUUCUUAUAAUUUUUUCACUCACCAUCUUCCUUCCAUGAUUUACUAUUUCCUCUGGCUUACAACAUAUUCAAGGUUCUUACAUGUGUUUGGGUGGAAGUGAACUUUUCUUUCCCUAAUAACCAUAUUUCUAUUUCAUCCUUGGUCUCCAGGCUUUUUAAAGGUUUCUCACAUUUACUGAUAACAUUCAUUUAUCUAUAGUAGAGUAUCUCUGUAGUGGAUGAAGUUCUAAACUUUUGUUGGCUGAAUACAAAUUGAUUUUGACUGCCUGCUUUUUUCCCCUCCACCUCUGAUGCUCAGCCCCAGGGCUCCCAGUGUGGAUCUCCUAGGGCAUACUAUUCUGGGAAGGGCUCUUUUUGGUAAGCCUAUUUAGACCAUAGUCAAGCAUAAACUCGUUGUUUUGAAGAAGCCCUAAAGACUGGUGAAAUAAUCGAAAUGUGAGUACUUUGUUCAGACUGAGAUGUUAAGUGUUCAGUAACAUUUAUUGGAUAUAUGAUAGCUAAUAUUUUAUAAAGCACUUGCUAUUGCUAAGAAAUUCACAUCAUCUUAGUGUCCUUAAGGAGCAUCUGAAGGGACACUUUCCAUUAUACAGAUAAGGAAAGUAACUUUUAGAGAUAAAUAACUUGCUUAAAGUCAAUAUUGUAGGCUCUUGAGCCAGGAUUCAUACUGGUGGGCUGAAUGUGUAACUGCAUUCUUAAUCAUUCGAUUACACUGUCUUGGCUGUAAAACACUGGUUUCUACAAGAAAUAACAUGGGCAUAGUCAUUCCUCAAGAGACAUACAAAUUAGUCAAGGCAGUAAUGCCACACAACUAUAAUGCAAGAUAGAUCUCUAUAAUUGCAAUCUAAAAGGAACAAAGUGUUACUGGAGUCCUACUGAGAGAUCAAGAGACAUUCCUUCUAGCUAGGGUACUUAAAAGGAUGUGGACUUUAGAUUUGGCUUUAAAGUUUAAGGGAUGGACAAGAUUUAAACAAUUGCUGUUAAAAGGGAAAGGUUAAUCAGAGAAGGGGUGUCACUAACAAAAACAUGAACCAGGAAGGAAGAGAGCAUGCUCAUGAGACAGGAGCCUAAUUUCAUUAAAGCAAAAGGUGAGUGAAGUUAAGGGGUAAGAAUCAAGACAGGAAAAAUAGUUUGAGACCAAAUUAUGGAGCAAGCAUCUGAACUUUAUCUGCAGACUGUAAGGAGUCUAUGAAGAUUUCUGAGCAUAGUACCAUGACAAGAGUUAUUUAGGAAGAUCAAUUUGGGAGCAGGUUGUAGGACUGGCAGAGUAGAGAGAGACUAAAAGAAUAGUUUUGUUUGUUGUUUUUUGUUUUUUUGUUUUUUUUUUGAGACGUUGUCUAGCUCUCUUGCCAGGCUGGAGUGCAGUGGCACGAUCUCGGCUCACUGCAACUUCCGCCUCCCAGGCUCAAGCGAUUCUCCUGCCUCAGCCUUCUGAGUAGCUGGGAUUACAGGCACGCGCCACCACACCCAGCUAAUUUUUGUAUUUUUAGUAGAGACGGAGUUUCACCAUGUUGGCCAGGAUGGUCUCGAUCUCCUGACCUCGUGAUCCACCUGCCUCGGCCUCCCAAAGUGCUGGGAUUACAGGCGUGAGCCACCGCGCCCGGCAAGAAUAGUUUUUAUAGGAGACUCAAGAUAGUCCCAGCCACAAGAUCUUGACCCUGAGGAGACAGACAAUGGAAAUAAAAUAAGGGCAGAGAUUUCAAAAGUGGAAUCAGUUCAAGUUGGUCUUAGUGAAAUUAUGACACCUAAGCAAUAUAACUCUAAAAACAUAAGCAUUUGGCUUUGUGUCUCAGUUACAGAAGGCUGGGACAUAUUUAAAACUACAAUUUAGAAAUUAAGUUUGGUUUAAAAGCCUGUUGCAUUCACACACACACUUCUACACACAAAUAUACACACUGUAUACACAUAUAUAGUGAGAAUAUUUGAAAUGAAGAUCUAGAAAAUAAGAGUAGGUUAAAAUCAAGAUAACUCGAGACUGACUAUGGAAGCAGUAAGAAGGCAAUUUAGUUUUGUUAAAUUUUGUCUGACUUAGUUUUUAUUAAAGUUACAUGUAUAAAUUUAAAAUAGAACUUUAUUUUUUCUCAACUCUCUUAAAACGGUUUAUCCCAUUAACUGACCUUAAUAAGAAAAUGAUUUUCUGUGUAUUCACCUUGACUGGCUUCAGUUACAAAGUUUCCAUUUUGCCCAGUUAAGAAAUACUUAAAAUUAUUCAAUCUUUAGAGAAUUUUUUAAAAGUAUGUGACAAGAAAGGAAGAAGAGCAUUUUAAAUUACUUCAUGUGCAUUAAAAAACUAGAUAGUAAACUACAGCUUCCCUAUCUUCUACAAUCUUAUCAGCGUCUGAAGCAACAGUUGGAAGAAAUAAGUUCUCUGUAUCCCAAAAGAUUUCCUAGAAUUCUAAAUGUUAAUAAUUAAAACAGAAAUCUUGAAAUGCUUAUCAUACAUUUUCAAAGAAUGUUCACAUAUGGUUCACACAUAAAUUUAACAGGAAUAAUCAGUUCAAUCAUGAUUUAAGCCCUGGAUCUCCUAGUUUAGUUGUAAAAUUGAGAAAGUUGUUCUAGACAGGUUAUAAACUUCCUUCAAGCAAUAUAGUACUACAAUUCAUUUAUUGUAGAUAUUGAACAUCCACUACUUGCAAAACAUUAUGCUACAAAGUCUUGCACAUAAAUUAUACCUGCCCUUGAGAGUAACAACUAGGAGUCGCUUUUAUUCAGCUUUGAUUUCUUCACUGGGUUCAGGAUGAUAAACUAGCUGUUGGACUUACUCUGCAUUUUCAUUUCCACAGUAAACUCAUUUCAUGUGUACAAUGAAACUUGGAAAACUUUAUUGUAUCUGGGUAAUAAAAAAGAGUACCAACAAUGAAAUAAAGGCAUUUUGAGAUUUAUAAAUGUAAAACAAGUUGAAUAGUUGAAUAGGCAUUGUCUAAACCUAUGCUGUCCAUUAUCAUAGCCACUAGUCAUCCACAUGUGACAACUGAUCAAAUUGUAGCCGG
rnacentral:lncRNA from 10 species